UAAGGAAUAUUGGUCAAUGGACGCAAGUCUGAACCAGCCAUGCCGCGUGAAGGAUGAAGGUCCUCUGGAUUGUAAACUUCUUUUAUCUGGGACGAAAACGGGAUUUUUAUCUCAAUUGACGGUACCAGAGGAAUAAGCACCGGCUAACUCCGUGCCAGCAGCCGCGGUAAUACGGAGGGUGCGAGCGUUAUCCGGAUUUACUGGGUUUAAAGGGUGCGUAGGUGGGCUUAUAAGUCAGUGGUGAAAUCUCCGAGCUUAACUUGGAGACUGCCGUUGAUACUAUAGGUCUUGAAUUAUCUGGAGGUAAGCGGAAUAUGUCAUGUAGCGGUGAAAUGCUUAGAUAUGACAUAGAACACCAAUUGCGAAGGCAGCUUACUACAUAUAAAUUGACGCUGAGGCACGAAAGCGUGGGGAUCAAACA
rnacentral:rRNA from 1 species